GCAAAUCUGAACUGAAAUUUUAUCCUGUUCGCUGAGCCUUGACUGGCCCAAGGCCAGGGCAGCAUUCCUGCUGCCGGUGAUCUCGACGCACAGAAAAUAAUUGUCAAACUCGAACCCGAAGGGGCGGGCCCUGAAUGGAGGCUGAUUUUCCGAGCUGGGUCUUCGCUGGACUCUAGGGUCAUCCAGAGCAACUUUUUUGAUCCUGACACUUUUCAAACUGAGCCUGGGAAUGUGCCCUCUCUCCCAGCUCAGGGCCCUUUGGGGGUUCUCACUCUGCAGUAUCCUUGUGUGAGCUUCCAAUCCUGGGAGCUGGCCCAGGUUGCAUUCCCAACUCUGUGCCCCCUGGAGCUUUUCUUGAAGAAUCAGGUUUAAUGCUACUUGCGGAGGAAUCCAACCAACUUCUAACCAGCAGCUUUCCCGUGAAUCUAAGUUGUGAGUGGUAGUUACCGAUCGAGAGAGUCAGGGCCUUACCUUUUUGCAUUUGUACUUUGCUUUAGAAGAAAGAGGAUAAUGCUUCCUUUGUCUGAUGCCUUUAGUGCGGGGAAAACUAUUAAAUGAUUUACACAUUCUUUGUAGCAUUACACACAUAUGCUUCUGAAUAAAGGCCAUUUGCUUA